GUACAAUUAAUAGACACAAUUCUUGAACGAACUGAAGAGCAGAUUGAGUAACUCUGGUUCACAAAAACCUCGUUUUUCCACAACUGAGUAAAGACUGUAGCGCCAAAUCUAUUGAGAGGAGCUGGUUGCCUCUUGGCUAGGCCCAGAAAGGUAGUUGCAAUAUCUAUGGACAUUGAAGCCAUGGAUAAUAUUCCUCUAGUAUUUCUUCUAUGGAUUUUUUAGGGCGUUUUCUAGUGGUGAUUUUAGGGGUCUGUGGGGUUUUAGAGGGUGAGGUUUUUCUGGAUAGUGUGGGGUUGCUGUGGGGAGAUGUAACCGAAACAGAUAUAUAUUGACAAAAAUAAUUUAUGGGUUUCAAAUAAAAAUGGGAAAAAAUCCUGUUGGAUCGGGUCCAGCACUCCAGUCUGACAGUCGUGGUAACAGAAAUUGUACUACGACGCGAGGCUGGGAUGAAGAUUCUGUCGGAACUCUCAAGAACCACGGCUGCAUAUGAGCAGCAUUUAUAGCUUCCUAACAAUAACAGUAGUAGUACUUUUAACUUUUAAGACGGCAGUUCAUCAUGCAUUUCCGUGUAUUCGCAGAAUUGCGCAUUUUGAAGGCACAAAUAUAUUGUAUCAAACCCGUUAUUAAAAUCAUAGCCAAAUAUGUUUGGAUUAACUGAGUUUGUUUGGAUAGAGAGAAUUUGGAUGAUUUAUUUGAGAUAUUUACUGUAGCACUUUUUGUGAUGUGAUGUAUGUGAGAUAAAAAGGUGAUUGGGAAGAUAAAAAGGUGAUUGGGAUUUGUGAGGAUAAAUUUUGCAAACCAAAAUCUCUCUAUCCAAACAAACUCAACUGUUUUUUGAAGUGGUUUUAAAAAAUUUUACUGUAAUAUAUUUUGAAAUAUUUUAUAAAAUAUUUAAAAGUAGUAGAGUUUUUAAAAUAUAUUUUGAAAUAUUUUUUAAACAUUAAAAAAAAUUAAACUACUUUUUAGAGUACCUUUUAGAAUAUUUUUUUAAAAUUUUAUAGUAUUUGAAAAAUUAAUUUUUAAAAAACUGAAGAAUCCAAACAGAGCAACUCUCACUCUAGCUUGUAUAAAAUCUUUUAUAAAAUCAUUGCAAAAAAAUUUUUUUUAUAAAAUAGCUCCUCAUAGCCAAAUGUGUAAUAUCCUCGUGUUAAAAACAUAUCCAACAAACUAAAACCUUUAGUAUAUAUGACGUGUCAAAUUGGGCCAAUAAUGUGUAAAAGUACUAGCUUUAUUUGUAAGUUACGAACCACUCAACUGACUCAAGAGGGCAACAACCAAAUAAUUUUUUUUUUUAAGGAAAGCAACAACCUAAAUUUCACUUGACUUGUGAUAUUAAGAGUUUUUUUUUUUUUUUUUUUUUUGGUUGGGAUGGGGGGAAAGGAGCUACACUUUGCAGUUUUGGAAAGGACAGUUUGAGCCUUGAACUUUUUUUUUGUCAAAGUCAGUUAAGACUUCUGAUAAAUUUACAACCCUUAAUCCACAAGAAACCACAAAAGCCGGUAACUCUUGAGGUUCCUGAGGAGACUUUUAAAUCUACCCCAAAUCCCCCCAACCCUGAUGUGGGAACUAACCUAUGCAAGGAACCUGCUGCUAAGUCCUAAAGAGACCCCAAUUACCCCGAAAAGGCUAGUGUCUUUUUUGUCAAAGCCAGUUAAGACUUUUGAUAAAUUUACAACCCUUAAUCCACAGGAAACCACAAAAGCCGGCAACUCUUGAGGUUCCUGAGAAGACUUAUAAAUCUACCCCAAAUCCCCCCCAACCCCGAUGUGGGAACUAACCUAUGCAGGAACCUGCUGCUAAAUCCUAAAGAGGCCCCGGAAAGGCUAGUGUCUUUUUUGUCAAAGCCAGUUAAGACUUUUGAUAAAUUUACAACCCUUAAUCCACAGUUUGAGCCUUGAACUUGAGCAUACUUAAGUUGAAGUAAUGAAUGCCUAAUAAGUAGUAAGUAGUAGGAGGGCUAUGAUGUUUGACGUUUGGGUCCAGGCGUCUAAAUAUAGUUGGGCCAAAAUUUUGGACCUGGGCUGAAAGACGUUACUACAAAUGGUUGGGGCAUGUUUUUAAAAUCGGACGUAGAGUUUUGAUGCGUCACUGUUGAAUCUAAAGAGAAAUGGCUUUCACUGGGCUUGCUUGGGAGGUGUGGGAACAAGGCCCAUGCACACGUAAUCUAAAUACCACUGUACCUGAUGCGUCAGACUUAUUAUCCGAGAAUUAUUCGUGCCUUGAUAAUUUUUGAUUGGUUGAUGUCUUUUUCGGCUCGAGUUGUAAUUUUGGACUUUCUAUCCAUCAAGUAAAUGCAUCAUCAAAGUCAUGAAGAUAUUACUAUAAGGAUGUGACGAUUAUUUAGCCCCCCCAGGGGACCCCCCCAAUCCCCACUUGGCCCAAUCCCCUCUCUUUCAUAGUACAAUAAUUUCCUCAGGAAUAUCAUCAAAAUUUGCAGUUUAUCCUAUUCAAUCAUAAAUGAUAAUGUGAGCGUAGAAUAUUACAUAUUGUGUUUUGGGUACAAAACAAUGCACAUAAAGCCAACAAGUACAUAACCAAUUCAAAUGGGCAAGAGCUAGCCAUCAGAAAAAGGUUUUAUUUAAGUCCCUUCUUGGCUUUUGGUGCAAGUCAAGAAUCAAAAUCUCCUAUUUACAUUUUCGUCCAAACUUUCCUGAAAAUUCCAACAGCAAGUUCAUAGCUGUUUGAUCCGAUGGUUGUUCAGUUCCUUUUGAAUUCUUUCAUCGACACUCUUUUGAAGUCACCCGUUUUUUUAGUAGAGAGUAUGAGUAAAAAUAAAAUAAAGAAUAUCACGUCGGGAAAAAAAUAAAGAAAGCCAACAAGUACAUUAACAAAAAAACAAACUCAAUCUUGAUAUUUUCCUUGUUAGGUUUUGAAUUUCGUGGCCAGUAAUUUGUUUCACCAACCAUACGCACCCCUCAAUUGCAAUGAACAACUGGAUAAGUUUAAGCCGGCUGAGCGUAGUUUUGUACUUAAAAGGUGUCUCGUUUUUUCUUUGACAUUUUCAAUGUUCAAAUGCCAUGUAGCGUCAGCAGAUUCAGCACGCCUCAAUUUCUUUUUAUCCAAAAAGUAACUAUCCAUCCGGAAGUGGAUUAAGACUAAUCUAGGUGCGCGCCGCUGUGCAGUUCUAGCAUAUUAAUUAAUGAGUUUUUUUAGCAAGUAAAAAAUAGCUCCCGAGUUGAUUUUUGAUGUUUCAUGGCAUUUGGGAUGGAGUCAUUUAUUCCUCAGUUUGAUGUACACAAACUAAUUAUUUCUUCCACAACUCUUUUUUUUUUUUUUUUUUGUGGGUGGGUAAUCUUAUCAAAAGACAAUGGAUGGCCCUCAUUUGUAUAUAAAAUACACACAAUUAUAUAAGGUAUGUUUAGUGUACGAGUUUGACGUGCCUAGUAAUGAAUCAUUCAUUUUUUUAAAAAAAAAAAAAAAAAGUUUUUUCAUCAGCAUGAAUCAUAUAUUCAUUGUUGAAGUCCUUGAAGUUAAAAGUAGAAUUUUACACGCCAACAAUUUACCUUGUACAAAUUUAAGGCAAAUUCUAAAUGUCAAGUUUUUGUAAUGUUUUAAACAUUUCAUUUUUGUGUCUUCUUCCUUCUUGCCUAUCAUUAAUUUGGGCGAGGCGCUCAAGUAUGGAUAAUGCUUGUUUAUUUUACACAACACAACAUGGACAGGUGUGCUUGUCUGAUGUUGUUGUCUUUGUGGCAAUUCAUUUGAAACCCCAAAAAAAAAAAAAAAUGCAUUUAAGUUGAAGAUUAUUCGACUCUUUUUUUAAUUGGUAUUUAUGCAAUAUUUUUGUAAUCUAAUGAUGAUUGAUAAACAAAUAUUAUUAUUAGUUUUCUUUGAGUAUUCACCCUUCAAAAGAAAAGCUUAUUCUAAACUUGUUACGAAGGAGAUAACCAUCAUCUUUCCGUAAGAAGGAUUGUUCAUUCAUCUGUAAAAAUAUAAUUCUUAAGGUUGGAAGGAAUUUUGCUAGACGGUAAAUUAUUUGAGAUAAUUCUGUGAAAAAAUAUUGUCGCAUUUUUUUUUUACUUUGAUAUAUGUAAAAUAAAAAGGUGAUUGAAAAAUAAAAAUACGUAAAUAAGAUGAAAAUAAUAUGUAAUUCGACCAUUCAGAUAGAGAAUUCCAUUCCCUAGAAGCAGUGUUACUACUAGUAUUACUUAAUUUAGUAGAGUCGUCAAAUGAUGAUAACGCUGUGAUGAUCAAGGAUCAUGGUAAUGAUUAAAACUUAGGUUGUGUUUGGAUUGUAUUUUUCGUGAUUUUUCAUGGAAAAAUUACUGUAGCGAUUUGAUAUAUGUGAGGGAAAAAGGUAAUAGGAAAAUGUGAUCACGGAAAACGACAUAAUUUUUCGACAGAAACCGGCAAUCCAAACAAGGCCUUAAUUAAACACCAUUUAACAAAUUACCAAGAAACAUUGCGUAAACAAUCUUCCACAAGUGGACCCAAAUAUCCGAGCCCGAAAGGAUAAAGCAGGCCGGAAACAAAGAAAGAAAGAAAGAACGAGGGAAACAAAAAUCCCUAUACCUCAAAUGGGACCCACCCAAAACCCCCCCGCCCCCUUCGGCACCACGUCCCAAAGUCUUAUCUAAUCACCCCAAGUGACUAAAUCUAAAUUUGUACCUCAAAGCUUUUCUUGUUUUCUAUUUUGCACCUUAAUCUUUUAUGUUAAAUGCAAAUUUUUGUAUUUGUCCUAUUUGAGUUCCCUGGCAUCUUUUUAUUUUGAAACUUUCCCAGAGCCGUACUCU
rnacentral:lncRNA from 1 species